rnacentral:lncRNA from 1 species
CUGCUGUAAUAGAAAUUUUAUUAAAAGGAAAAUAGAAAGAACAAAAACAAGUGAAAGCACCCGCGAGAAGCCACGAGAAACCGAAAAACAAACAAGACUAAGAGAACAUUUUUAGAGGAUCAUCCUCAUCAAAACAAUCUUCGUCGUCAAGCAUAUCUCCCCAUCUUUUAGAAACCACGGUCGACAUAGCACGAGCAGCGUCAGAAGAAGAAGAGUGUAUCACAAAAUUUUGCAUAAGCGCGCCUUCAGAAUGAGCAUGUUGCACUUUUUUCAAGA